GAUGAACGCUGGCGGCGUGCCUAAUACAUGCAAGUCGAGCGAACAGACGAGGAGCUUGCUCCUCUGACGUUAGCGGCGGACGGGUGAGUAACACGUGGAUAACCUACCUAUAAGACUGGGAUAACUUCGUGAAACCGGAGCUAAUACCGGAUAAUAUAUUGAACCGCAUGGUUCAAUAGUGAAAGACGGUUUUGCUGUCACUUAUAGAUGGAUCCGCGCCGCAUUAGCUAGUUGGUAAGGUAACGGCUUACCAAGGCAACGAUGCGUAGCCGACCUGAGAGGGUGAUCGGCCACACUGGAACUGAGACACGGUCCAGACUCCUACGGGAGGCAGCAGUAGGGAAUCUUCCGCAAUGGGCGAAAGCCUGACGGAGCAACGCCGCGUGAGUGAUGAAGGUCUUCGGAUCGUAAAACUCUGUUAUUAGGGAAGAACAAAUGUGUAAGUAACUAUGCACGUCUUGACGGUACCUAAUCAGAAAGCCACGGCUAACUCCGUG
rnacentral:rRNA from 1 species